UGUGCUGCGGCGAAGUUUCCCCUAGAUACAGAUCUAGAAUCAGCUUCCCCUCCCCAAACCUAACAAGGACCAUUAGCGGGGGGAAUUCAAACCUGAUCCAAAGCCAGGGUCUAUUUGGGGAACUUGUCCCCUCCCCCACAACACUACACGUGGAUGCGGCUUCCUCAGUUCACCAUGCUCAUAAAGAAAACAGCAGUGUAUUUUAGCUGCAAGCCUGGGAAAGAACUGAGAACUAAAGGGUCAAGACAGACACCAGAAAGAGGCCCAAGAAGACUUGGACGCAGGAACAGAGGACAGCGAGGGAUGUACAGAACUCACUCAGUCCGGUUUGGAGAAUGACUUCUCAACCCAAGACUAAGAGCAGCUGUGAGAAAGCAUCAGUUUGGAAGCAUUUGGGAAAAUGUAAAGUGCUAAAGAAGGUUCCCGGCAAAGAGGAUUGACUGUUAUGGGUCAGAGCCAGCUCUCACAAACAGAACAUGGAAAGACAUGAAAACCUGGUGCACAACAAAAUGCAAACAGAAAAGGCUCUCCGCAGCCGGUAAAAGGCUAGCAGGCUAUAGGUGAAUGGGAGAGUUGUAAAAGACAAAAAGCUUUUUAGACAUAGCUCCAAAAUGCAGGUGCUCGUUGCGCUCGUGAGCUAGUUCUGUUUUGUGGUGGAAAACUUAGUGUGUCGAGCAUAAUACGUCAACCCUGUUACCAAUAGAUAAAGGGGCUAGACAUUUUUUUGCAAUUUCAUUUUUUGUCUGAAACGUCCAAUUCAAAGGCUUCCAUUCCCCUUGUCACAAGGAAUUUAUGCAUGAUGUAAUACGAAACCCUGCCUCCCGAGUGGCGCAGUGGUCUUAGGCACUGCAUCGCAGUUGCUAGCUGUGCCGCUAUAGAUCCUGGUCCGAGUCCAGGCUCUGUCGCAGCCGGCUGCGACCCGGAGACCCAUCGGUUGGCGCACAAUUGUCCCAGCGUCGUCCU